AUUGAACGCUGGCGGCAUGCCUUACACGUGCAAGUCGAACGGUAACGCGGGGCAACCUGGCGACGAGUGGCGAACGGGUGAGUAACACAUCGGAACGUGCCCAGUAGUGGGGGAUAGCCCGGCGAAAGCCGGAUUAAUACCGCAUACGACCUACGGGUGAAAGCGGGGGAGUCGCAAGACCUCGGCGCUAUUGGAGCGGCCGAUGGCAGAUUAGGUAGUUGGUGGGGUAAAGGCCUACCAAGCCCGCGAUCUGUAGCUGGUCGUGAGAGGACGACCAGCCACACUGGGACUGAGACACGGCCCAGACUCCUACGGGAGGCAGCAGUGGGGAAUUUUGGACAAUGGGCGCAAGCCUGAUCCAGCCAUGCCGCGUGC
rnacentral:rRNA from 1 species